UGUUUAUCACUUUUGCACCAUCAAAAAGUCAAAAAAUUGUGUCAGACCACUGUAAGUUGGAGACCAUCUGAACCUGCCUCAGAGUUAACAGGUAAAGUGCUUUCCAAAAUGCCUACAACAAAAAAAGUACUCAAUAAUUGUCUAUUGUUAUUUUUUAAGGUAGAAACUUACCAGCAAGGAAGAACAAGUGCCAAAAAGAAAAAGAGUGGCUGUUCAAGAGUUUUUGUGUCUUCUUGCUGUAAAAGGAUUAUUUUGACUUUUUAAAUCAAAUACCUGGUGAAAUUAUAAUUCUAAUACUCACAGUUAAUUUCUAAUUCUCUGCUUUCAGAAACAUUGAUGGACACAAAUAUAGUUUUCCUCCAUCUUGCAUAUAGAUUGAUCACACCUUUUUCCUAUGUUUAAUGGACUAACUCUGUCCACUAACUCUGUCCAUUAAACCUAAAAAUUCAAUUAACAGACGCAAGAGUCUGCUUUGUGCUGGGCACUCAGAAAAUGAAUGAGGUCUGGUUCCCAUUCUCCUUACUCUCUCAGUCUAGUUGGAGAGCCAGACAAGGACCCCAUAGGGUUGACUUUAAGCCCAAAAAGACCAUGCUUAAUGCUCAUGACAUCUUCGAUAGUGGCUCAUAUUUUAUGAGUAUAAAAGAUAUUUUUAACCUAAGAAUUUAGAAAACAGAGGGAAUCCAAGAAGGCAGUUUAGACCCCACAAAAUGACAGCGAUUAGAAACUUUGGCAAUUGGGAGGGGGGGCAAGACAGUGGUAUAGGAAGAGCCGGAACACACCACCUCCCACGGACACACCAAAACUGUAACUACUUACAGAGCAGCUAUCUAGGAGAACAGCCUGAAGAAUAAUUGAGAAAACCUUCCACAACUCAAGACAUAAGGAAGGAACCACAAUGAGAUGAGUAGGAAGGGCAGAGUCAAGGUAUAGAAACAGCAACCCACACCCCUGGGUCAGCAACCCACAAAUGGGAGGAUAAUCAAUCAUCCAAGGAGCAAGGGGUCCGAGCCCCACAUCAGUCUCCCCAGCUCAGGAAUGCUGCACUAAGAACCCUCCAGAAGGUCUGGCUUUGAAAAUGGGGGUGGGGGUGUGGAGGUAUUUUCAGGAGCUGGAGGAUUAAAGAAACACAGUCCACUCUUAAAGGGCACACACAAAAAUCUCACAUGCUCCAAGGCCCAGAGCAGAGGCAGUAGGUGUGUGGGUCAGACCCACUUGCUGCUCUUAAAGAGCCUCCCAGAGAGGCAGGAGGCAACUGGGACUCCCCUUGAGGGUGGAGAUGCUGGUGGUGACCUGACCAUUUGGGGGGAGCUCAUUCUAUGGUGAUAACACCAGCGCUGGCAAGCAGCAUUUGGAAUCCUCCUUCUAGCCUAUUAGCAAUACACUCUUUGACAUCAGUCUUAGCAAUGUGGUUUUGGAUCGGUCUCCUCAGGCAAGGGAAGUAAGAGCACAAUUAAAACAACGGAGCUACAUCAAACCAAAAAGCUUUUGCAAGCUGUAACAAAAUGAAAAGGCUGCCUAUGAAUGGGAAAAGAUAACUGCAAACAAUAUCUCUGAUAAAGGGUUAAUAUCCAAAAUAUACAAAGAACUCGUACCACUCAACAUUAAAAAACAAACAAACAAACCAACAACAACAACAAAAAAAACCUGAUUUACAAAUGGGCAAAAGAUGGGAAUUCCCCUUGUGGUCCAGUGGAAAUGAACCCGACUAGGAGCCAUGAGGUUGUGGGUUCGAUCCCUGGCCUCACUCGGUGAGUUAAGGAUCUGGCGUUGCCAUGAGCUGUGGUGUAGGUUGCAGACGAGGCUCGGAUCUGGCAUUUCUGUGGUUGUGGUGUAGGCUGGUGGUUACAGCUCCUAGCCUGGGAACCUCCAUAUGGUGUGGGUUUGGCCCUAAAAAGACAAAAAAAAAAAAAAAAAAAAAGGCAAAGAAUCUGAAUAGACGUUUCUCCAAAGAUAUAUAGAUGGCCAACAGACAUGUGAAAAAAUGGUCAACAUCACUGAUCAUCAGGAAAAUGCAAAUCAAAACCACAAUGAGAUACCACCUGACACCUAUGUACUGUUUAUGGGAUUAUAAAUUAGUGCAACCACUAUGGAGAACAGUAUGGAGGUUCCUCCAAAAUUAAAAAUGUUACCAUAUGAUCCAGUCACUUCACUUCCGGUGUUUAUCUGAAGAAAACGGAAGAUAGAAGCACAACAGUGUUCACUGCAAUAUUAUUUACGAUAGCCAAGAUACUGAAGCAGCCUAAGUGACCAUCAAAAGAUGAACAGAUAAAGAAGAUGUGGUGUGUAUAUGCCUGGAAUAUUACUUAGUGAUUUAAAACAUGAAAUCUUGCCGUUUUCAUCAACACAGAU
ensembl:lncRNA